rnacentral:misc_RNA from 1 species
GAAAUGCGAUAAGUAAUGUGAAUUGCAGAAUUCAGUGAAUCAUCGAAUCUUUGAACGCACCUUGCGCUCCUUGGUAUUCCUUGGAGCAUGCCUGUUUGAGUAUCAUGAAAUCUUCAAAGUAAAUCUUUUGUUAACUCAAUUGGUUUCUACUUUGGUAUUGGAGGUCUUUGCAGCUUCACACCUGCUCCUCUUUGUUCAUUAGCUGGAUCUCAGUGUUAUGCUUGGUUCCACUCGGCGUGAUAAGUUAUCUAUCGCUGAGGACACUGUAAAAGGUGGCCAAGGUAAAUGCAGAUGAACCGCUUCUAACAGUCCAUUGACUUGGACAAUACUUUUAUGAUCUGAUCUCAAAUCAGGUAGGACUACCCGCUGAACUUAAGC